rnacentral:lncRNA from 1 species
GUUACUAGAGGAGAGGAGAAGCUCCGUGCAGGGGAAUCCGGGAUGCUGGAAAGCUGGGGAAUUUAAUACAGAGCUGGCUCUGCUCCAUCCUGGAUCUUCUUUAUGUUCUUUGACAAUGUGCCAGAAACCCUGACAAUGAACCGCUGUCUCUGACUAAUUGUUCUAGUGGAGAUGUCUCCUGUUUGACUUGAUUUUAAACUGUGGAGCACGUCAAGAGAAAGCUCACUGAUCUGCCGAGGGUUUGUGCUUUUCUGUCUUCAUGCAUCUGUUGUGGGUGAAGAGAGCAAAGAUUCUUCAUUCAAUCAAAGGCCCCCUUUGGAGAUGCUGAGAAGGAAAUUUCCUUUGGAAAUUCCCAAAGGAAUUGGGCUGUCUCUCUCUCUUUCUCUGGUUGCAUUUCACCAGCUAAGGAGUUGCAUUGGCUUCUGCUCUCCUCUCUUGCUCACCUACAUUGUGAGGCAGAUGAGAGUGGAGGUUGUAAAUCACCCUCCAUGCAAUGGUUCAUCAUAAAGGAUAUGGAGCAAAAUUAGAGGAGGCACGAGAAGGAAAGCCGGUGAUGAACAAGGAAAGUGCCUGGUUGAAGCUAGCUUGCAAUCCCA